AAUCCAUAGGUUAAUGAGGCGAACCGGGGGAACUGAAACAUCUAAGUACCCCGAGGAAAAGAAAUCAACCGAGAUUCCCCCAGUAGCGGCGAGCGAACGGGGAGGAGCCCAGAGCCUGAAUCAGCAUGUGUGUUAGUGGAAGCGUCUGGAAAGGCGCGCGAUACAGGGUGACAGCCCCGUACACAAAAGCGCAUGUGCUGUGAGCUCGAUGAGUAGGGCGGGACACGUGGUAUCCUGUCUGAAUAUGGGGGGACCAUCCUCCAAGGCUAAAUACUCCUGACUGACCGAUAGUGAACCAGUACCGUGAGGGAAAGGCGAAAAGAACCCCGGCGAGGGGAGUGAAAAAGAACCUGAAACCGUGUACGUACAAGCAGUGGGAGCACAGGUUUACCUGUGUGACUGCGUACCUUUUGUAUAAUGGGUCAGCGACUUAUAUUCUGUAGCAAGGUUAACCGAAUAGGGGAGCCGGAGGGAAACCGAGUCUUAAUUGGGCGUUAAGUUGCAGGGUAUAGACCCGAAACCCGGUGAUCUAGCCAUGGGCAGGUUGAAGGUUGGGUAACACUAACUGGAGGACCGAACCGACUAAUGUUGAAAAAUUAGCGGAUGACCUGUGGCUGGGGGUGAAAGGCCAAUCAAACCGGGAGAUAGCUGGUUCUCCCCGAAAGCUAUUUAGGUAGCGCCUCGUGAAUUCAUCUCCGGGGGUAGAGCACUGUUUCGGCUAGGGGGCCAUCCCGGCUUACCAACCCGAUGCAAACUGCGAAUACCGGAGAAUGUUAUCACGGGAGACACACGGCGGGUGCUAACGUCCGUCGUGAAGAGGGAAACAACCCAGACCGCCAGCUAAGGUCCCAAAGUCAUGGUUAAGUGGGAAACGAUGUGGGAAGGCCCAGACAGCCAGGAUGUUGGCUUAGAAGCAGCCAUCAUUUAAAGAAAGCGUAAUAGCUCACUGGUCGAGUCGGCCUGCGCGGAAGAUGUAACGGGGCUAAACCAUGCACCGAAGCUGCGGCAGCGAACGUAUCACUUAAAGCGAUUCAGCGGGUUACGAUUGACGGAGCGAAGCGACGUCAAAGCGUAUACAAAGUCGAGUCGGUUUAAGGAUACGUUCGUUGGGUAGGGGAGCGUUCUGUAAGCCUGUGAAGGUGGCCUGUGAGGGUUGCUGGAGGUAUCAGAAGUGCGAAUGCUGACAUAAGUAACGAUAAAGCGGGUGAAAAGCCCGCUCGCCGGAAGACCAAGGGUUCCUGUCCAACGUUAAUCGGGGCAGGGUGAGUCGACCCCUAAGGCGAGGCCGAAAGGCGUAGUCGAUGGGAAACGGGUUAAUAUUCCCGUACUUGGUGUUACUGCGAAGGGGGGACGGAGAAGGCUAUGUUGGCCGGGCGACGGUUGUCCCGGUUUAAGCGUGUAGGUGUGUGUUCCAGGUAAAUCCGGUUCACUUUAACACUGAGGCGUGAUGACGAGGCACUACGGUGCUGAAGUAACAAAUGCCCUGCUUCCAGGAAAAGCCUCUAAGCAUCAGGUAACAUCAAAUCGUACCCCAAACCGACACAGGUGGUCAGGUAGAGAAUACCAAGGCGCUUGAGAGAACUCGGGUGAAGGAACUAGGCAAAAUGGUGCCGUAACUUCGGGAGAAGGCACGCUGACAC
rnacentral:rRNA from 1 species